CUAACUAGGAUUCCCCUAGUAGCUGCGAGCGAACAGGGAAAAGCCCAGCACCGAAUCCCGCGAUCGUAACCGGUCGCUGGGNAAUGUGGUGUUAGGAAGGAUCCGUUAUCUCGAGGGUAUGCGACGCGNCCANGUCCUUCUUGAACGGGGCCACCGCCCAUAGAGGGUGCCNGGCCCGUAGCGACCGUCGUCACCUUCGAGAGGGUCUCUUCUGAGAGUCGGGUUGCUUGAGAGUGCANCCCUAAGUGGGUGGUAAACUCCAUCUANGGCUAAAUAUGACCACGAGACCGAUNGCGAACNAGUACCGUGAGGGAAAGUUGAAAAGAACUUUGAAGAGAGAGUUCAAGAGUACGUGAAACCGUUCAGGGGUAAACCUGAGAAACCCGAAAGGUCGAACGACGAGAUUCAUUCGCGUGCCGAUCGAUCGAACGUCGCUUGUGCGGAGGCGGAGUCUUUUCUUCGGAGGAGACAUACGCGCCCCUUGCGAUCGUUUCGGUCGGCGGACGCGUGCAUUUCUCGUCUAGUAGGACGUCGCGAUGCGUUGAGUGCCGGUCUACGGGGCCGAUGUGUAGCCCGGAUGCGGAACCUCGCGUUCACGUAUACGGACACGCGGAUCUUCCCGACCGGCUCGCUCGACGUUCAGAUUCGAAGGCGAGAGGCCGCGACUUCAGUGCGCGUCCGAGCCGCGGCAAGCUCGUUCAAUUGGUUGUCGUUCGGACUUUGUGCCGACGUUCGACCGUUGACGGCUGUUCGCCGCGUGUCUCUCGGACAGACCUCUACGAAACGCCGAUCGGCGACNCUAUAGCUUUGGGUACUUUCAGGACCCGUCUUGAAACACGGACCAAGGAGUCUAGCGUGUGCGCGAGUCAUUGGGAUUUCACGAAACCUAAAGGCGAAAUGAAAGUAAAGGUACGCCUUGCGCGGACCGAGGGAGGACGAAAGGCCAUUUCGAAGGUCGUUCAGCACUCCCGGGGCGUCUCGUUCUCAUUGCGAGAUGAGGCGCACCAAGAGCGUACACGCUGGGACCCGAAAGAUGGUGAACUAUGCCCGGUCAGGACGAAGUCAGGGGAAACCCUGAUGGAGGUCCGUAGCGAUUCUGACGUGCAAAUCGAUCGUCGGAACUGGGUAUAGGGGCGAAAGACUAAUCGAACCAUCUAGUAGCUGGUUCCCUCCGAAGUUUCCCUCAGGAUAGCUGGCGCUCGUUGCGUACGAGUCUCAUCAGGUAAAGCGAAUGAUUAGAGGCAUUGGGGUCGAAACGACCUCAACCUAUUCUCAAACUUUAAAUGGGUGAGAUCUCCGGCUUGCUUGAUAAAUUUUAUCGUGAAGCCGCGAGUGUAACGGAUCAGAGUGCCAAGUGGGCCAUUUUUGGUAAGCAGAACUGGCGCUGUGGGAUGAACCAAACGCCGAGUUAAAGCGCCUAAAUCGACGCUUAUGGGAUACCAUGAAAGGCGUUGGUAACUUAAGACAGCAGGACGGUGGCCAUGGAAGUCGGAAUCCGCCAAGGAGUGUGUAACAACUCACCUGCCGAAGUUACUAGCCCUGAAAAUGGAUGGCGCUGAAGCGUCGUGCUUAUACUCGGCCGUCAGCGGCAUGUGCGGUCGUCGUUCAUUCGACGGCCAUGAAGUCCUGACGAGUAGGAGGGUCGCGGAGGUGAGCGCAGAAGGGCUGGCCGUGGGGCCGUCUGGAGCCGCCUCCGGUGCAGAUCUUGGUGGUAGUAGCAAAUACUCCAGCGAGGACCUGGAGAGCUGAGGUGGAGAAGGGUUUCGUGUGAACAGCCGUUGCACACGAGUCAGUCGAUCCUAAGCCCUAGGCGAAAGCCGAUGUUGAUGUGGCGUCUUUCAUACACGGGUGUGGAGUGCUUUCGUGGCACGAGUGUACGAUAGAAACGCACGUCGGGCGAAAGGGAAUCCGGUUCCUAUUCCGGAACCCGGCAGCGGAACCGUCUUAAAAUCGGGCCCUCGCAAGAGAGUUCGUCGGGGUAACCCAAAAUGACUCGGAGACGCCGUCGAGAGAUCCGGGAAGAGUUUUCUUUUCUGCAUGAGCGUUCGAGUUCCAUGGAAUCCUCUAGCAGGGAGAUAUGGUUUGGAACGCGAAGAGCACCGCAGUUGCGGCGGUGUCCGGAUCUUCUCCUCGGACCUUGAAAAUCCGAGAGAGGGCCACGUGUAAGCGUCGCGCCGGUUCGUACCCAUAUCCGCAGCUG
rnacentral:rRNA from 1 species